GCCAUCCACCGACUACAGCCCCUCCCAUCCACAACCGCGCUCCCUUCCCACGUGGCCACGCCGAUUCCUUGGCAUCCCUCCGCUCCAAAUCUCACGACAAACUGCAACCGUGAGUCCGCUUUCUCCCUUCUCAUCGUUCCAUCCUCAUCUACGACGUGGAAGAGAGCUCCUCUCUUGCCAUCGCAGGAGCCCGUCCUGCUCCGCUGCCCCCUAGCGCUACCUCUCCCGUCCCUCUCCACAUCCCUUCUUUUGUAUCCCCCUCUCUCUCUCUCCUGCAGAUCUAAGUGCCUGGUGAAGUAUCCCCUUGCCGAGAUCCGUUCUGGAGUGUGGCGCCAGUGGCAGCAGGGGUCAUCCCUCACUACCUUCCUCGUCGUGCGUGGCCAUCAUCGUCGACCAUGUCGGCGUCGCGUUGCUUCCGAUCUUGGUGUCGCUGACGCGGCCGAGGCGCGAGCCGCGUGCCCCUCAAACAGGGGAACAGGCAUGAAGGGGAACGACCUCACCACCGCUGGCGUGCGUUCAGGCUCCGCGUGCUUGUCCUCCGUCGAUCUUGCUGCGAGCACCGCGGCAGCCACUCCAUGCGCAAAAAUGAGGCCGCCACCUCAAGCAACAUUGCUGCGUGCGUGGAGACGGCGGGCACAGCUGCGGCGAGUCACGGCUACAUUGGGGUGGUGGCGAUGUUACUACAUGCAAAGCCACGGCGGUCGAUGCAGCUGUCUCCCGUUCCGACGACGGGUUCGUUGCGAGCGCUGGUGUGCAAGACGUCCCUGCAACGUCAACAGCGCCUUGCCGCCGCCACGGUCGCAUACAGAGGCCGUUCAGUAUCAGAUCCACCACCCCUUGUCCCGCUCUUCCUUCCCCAUUCAUCUGUGUCCAGGCUUGGAGACCUUGCGUGCUUCGCCUUAAAGCUGAUGCUGCCACUGGCAGUGGCUGGACAUUUAAAUCCCCUCUCUUGUUGGCUUCGAAUGCCGACCUUCUCCUACCCAUCUUCCACGGACCUUCUCUGUCGGCUCCGAAUGCCGACUGCUUAUUCGUUCUGUUGGACUCGAGUGACCAGCAAGGGGAGGCUCAGGAGCGCGAGGGAGUAUGAUGUGUUUGCACGGUGGUGAGGCAAUGGGUGCACAGGAAGUGCAACGGUACAAUUCUUCAGCUCUAGGAUCAUCUAAUGGGAACUCAUCAUCAGUCAAACUCCAAUAAGAGGUUACAGGGACGUAACAAAUGGGAUGGAUGUACAAGUUUGUUUCGGUGUCCUCUAAAUAUUCAGUACGUAUUUGUUUCUGUGUCCUCUAAAUAUUCAGUACGUAUCAACACCGGCAACAGUUUCAAUGUUUAGCAGUUCUGUUUAUCUCUGAGAUGCUUAUGGAAAUGACGGAUUUUUUGUCAGUUCGCUUCGACGAAACCGGUAUAUUUUGCUUUUAGUAUCGUCCGUCAGUUAUUUCGUUUUACAGCAUAACAUUCAUAAUAGAGAUAAUUAGCAGGUGAACAAUUUUUUAUGGGUGCUAUAUUCCAAUUCGAUCUUGUCCACCCGAACCACCUCAUGCCCAUUACACUUCCAUUGAUAUUCCUGCUCCCCUGAAUCUUCUCUUUUCUGUAAUUUACAGUUCAAAAUUUAAAUCAUGACUGUGCAAUGUCCGUGGUUGUCUUUACAAAAUGGCUAAUGUUUGGUUUUGUAGAUAACAUGAGUAUUUCUGCUUGGUUACAAAUCUCCUUGGUUACAGCAAUCAACGGUUUGUCUGUUAUCAAGGAGUACAUUGUGUAUAAUGGGAAACUCACUUUUAUUGUUUUGUAGAAUGUUUAUUUAAACUCGUUGCAACGUAUGGUCACUUAACUAUCUAUUUCUUAUGUUCCUCGCCAAGUCAUUUUUAGGUGUUAGGCUAUAUGGUAUUAGGAUUCUUUUUUGUGUUCUAUCGAGAUCAUUGCUCCCGGGAAAGUAGGGACAAUGACACAACAACUACUUAAUAUGCAUGUGAAAACUACUGGCAUCGAUCGUGAGCAGGUGAGAAACUCGUUUGUGCCUUCCAAUUUUUUCGAGUCUUCCAAUCACCGUGUGUCAUUUCCGGAGAUCUAGAAAAACAUGACAAAGACGAUUGAGAAUCCCCUGCCCAAACCCGAAAUUUAAACUUUCUGACUUCUUGUCUGCACCAUAUUCAUCUGUUGAUCAGGUACCUUCGGCAAUAGCGAAGAUACACCAUUGUGCUCGCAUAUACAGUUGGUCGUGCAGUGUGGUAUCGUAAUAAUAAACACUUCUUUCAUUUCUCGCGAAAGAUACGAGCGACUAAUGCACAUGAGCGACUAAUAAGAAACACUAUUGUACGUCUUCCUGACGAUAUAUGCGUGUUGUAUGCAGGGAAGAACACGGAUCUUAAUAAACUGAUAAACAAUGUUUUUCCAAUGCUUGAUGGUAAGGGUGUUGUAUGUAGGGAAGAACAUGGACCUUAAUAAACUGAUAAACAAUGUUUUUCCAAUGUUUGAUGGUAAUAUGUCGGAUCCAAACUAAACUACAUCAUCUCGGGAGCCAUGAUUGUGUGGAUCAGAUUAAUAUAAAGAUGAUCGAUCGCUUUUGAGGGGAGGAAAUGGUGUAUCAUAGCUUUGAUAGUGCAGAAGACGAUCCCCAUAACUACUACCCUUUGAGUUUCUUAACUCACUGACACUUAUGGGCUACCUCCACAUGUUCUAAAGCUCAAGAUGAGAAACAUUGAUCCUGCGAACAGACUUUGCAAUGGGAAGAGGCUGGUGGUUCGGGGGUUACAGAGAAAUGCUAUCGAUGCAGAGAUUGUGCUAGGGUAGCAUGCUAGAAAGAAGGUUUUUCUGCUUCAGAUCCCUCUUGCCCCUCUAAUGACGAGAUGUUUCCUUUCCAGUUUAAAAGGAAGCAGUUUUCUGUUAGGCUCAGCUUUGCCAUGACAAUCAACAAGGCACAGGGGCGGACCAUCCCUAACGUCGGCAUUUAGUUGCUCGAGCUAGUGUUCUCUCACGGUUAGUUAUACGUUACGUUAUCUAGAGCCAUUGUUAGAGCAAAUAUCAGGAUCCUCAUCGUCCCAACUGAUGACAAAAAAAAGAAGUGCUCAAAGUAAAGUAGGACAUACACGAGCAAAGAGGUCCUUACGG